rnacentral:rRNA from 1 species
GACGAACGCUGGCGGCGUGCCUAAUACAUGCAAGUAGAACGCACAGUUUAUACCGUAGCUUGCUACACCAUAGACUGUGAGUUGCGAACGGGUGAGUAACGCGUAGGUAACCUGCCUGGUAGCGGGGGAUAACUAUUGGAAACGAUAGCUAAUACCGCAUAAUAUUAAUUAUUGCAUGAUAAUUAAUUGAAAGGUGCAAUUGCACCACUACCAGAUGGACCUGCGUUGUAUUAGCUAGUAGGUGAGGUAACGGCUCACCUAGGCGACGAUACAUAGCCGACCUGAAAGGGUGAUCGGCCACACUGGGACUGGGACACGGCCCAGACUCCUACGGGAGGCAGCAGUAGGGGAUCUUCGGGAAAGGACGAAAGUCUGAACGAGCAACGCCGCGUGAGUGAAGGAGGUUUUCGGGUCGUAAAGCUCUGUUGUAAGAGAAGAACGGGUGUGAGAGUGGAAAGUUCACACUGUGACGGUAUCUUACCAGAAAGGGACGGCUAACUACGUG